rnacentral:rRNA from 1 species
GUGCCAGCAGCCGCGGUAAUACGGAGGGUGCGAGCGUUGUCCGGAAUCACUGGGCGUAAAGGGCGCGUAGGCGGCAGGUCAAGCGUGUGGUGAAAGCCCGGGGCUCAACCCCGGGUCGGCCAUGCGGACUGGCGUGCUUGAGCACUGUAGGGGCGGGUGGAAUUCCGGGUGUAGCGGUGGAAUGCGUAGAGAUCCGGAAGAACACCGGUGGCGAAGGCGGCCCGCUGGGCAGGAAGAUGGAGCAAUCCAUCGGCUGACGCUGAGGCGCGACAGCGUGGGGAGCAAACAGGAUUAGAUACCCUGGUAGUCC